rnacentral:piRNA from 1 species
UAUUCAAACUGUGCAUGAAUAUAGCAUCC